rnacentral:rRNA from 1 species
CCCUUAGAGUUUGAUCCUGGCUCAGAGUGAACGCUGGCGGCAGGCCUAACACAUGCAAGUCGAACGGCAGCACAGAGGAGCUUGCUCCUUGGGUGGCGAGUGGCGGACGGGUGAGGAAUACAUCGGAAUCUGCCUAUUUGUGGGGGAUAACGUAGGGAAACUUACGCUAAUACCGCAUACGACCUACGGGUGAAAGCGGAGGACCUUCGGGCUUCGCGCAGAUAGAUGAGCCGAUGUCGGAUUAGCUAGUUGGCGGGGUAAAGGCCCACCAAGGCGACGAUCCGUAGCUGGUCUGAGAGGAUGAUCAGCCACACUGGAACUGAGACACGGUCCAGACUCCUACGGGAGGCAGCAGUGGGGAAUAUUGGACAAUGGGCGCAAGCCUGAUCCAGCCAUGCCGCGUGGGUGAAGAAGGCCUUCGGGUUGUAAAGCCCUUUUGUUGGGAAAGAAAAGCAGUCGGUUAAUACCCGAUUGUUCUGACGGUACCCAAAGAAUAAGCACCGGCUAACUUCGUGCCAGCAGCCGCGGUAAUACGAAGGGUGCAAGCGUUACUCGGAAUUACUGGGCGUAAAGCGUGCGUAGGUGGUUUGUUAAGUCUGAUGUGAAAGCCCUGGGCUCAACCUGGGAAUUGCAUUGGAUACUGGCAGGCUAGAGUGCGGUAGAGGGUAGUGGAAUUCCCGGUGUAGCAGUGAAAUGCGUAGAGAUCGGGAGGAACAUCCGUGGCGAAGCGACUACCUGGACCAGCACUGACACUGAGCACGAAAGCGUGGGGAGCA